rnacentral:rRNA from 1 species
UGGAAGCGAUUUUCGGUGGCAAGAGGAAGGACAGCACCUGAUGAAUGGUCACGGCUAACUAUCUGCCAACAGCCUUGAUAAUACGUAGGUGGCGAGCGUUAUCCGGAUUUACUGGGCGUAAAGCGCGUGCAGGCGGUUUCGUAAGUCGGACGUGAAAGCUCCUGGCUUAACUGGGAGAGGCCGUUCGAUACUGCGGGACUUGAGGUCGGGAGAGGGACGUGGAAUUCCCGGUGUAGUGGUGGAAUGCGUAGAUAUCGGGAGGAACACCAGUGGCGAAGGCGGCGUCCUGGCCCGCACCUGACGCUGAGACGCGAAAGCGUGGGUAGCGAACGGGAUUAGAUACCCCGGUAGUCCACGCCGUAAACGGUGGAUACUAGGUGUUGGUGGCUAUCGUCAUCAGUGCCGUAGCUAACGCGUUAAGUAUCCCGCCUGGGGACUACGGCCGCAAGGCUAAAACUCAAAGGAUUUGACGGGGGA